rnacentral:tRNA from 1 species
GCUUUCCUGGCUCAGUGGUAAAGAAUCUGCCUGCAAUGCAGGAGACCCGGGUUCGAUCCCUGAGAAAGGA